rnacentral:rRNA from 1 species
AUUGAACGCUGGCGGCAGGCUUAACACAUGCAAGUCGAGCGAGCGGCGGACGGGUGAGUAAUGUCUGGGAAACUGCCUGAUGGAGGGGGCUAACUACUGGAAACGGUAGCUAAUACCGCAUACCAUCAGAUGUGCCCAAAUGGGAUUAGCUCUGAGGUGGGGAAAGGGCUCACCUAGGCGACGCUCCAUAGCUUGUCUGAGAGGAGGACAAGCAACACUGGAAAUGAGACACGGUCCACACUCCUACGUGAGGCAGCAGUGGGGAAUAUUGCACAAUGGGCGCAAGCCUGAUGCAGCCAUGCCGCGUGUGUGAAGAAGGCCUUCGGGUUGGAAAGCACUUUCAGCGAGGAGGCGUUACUCGCAGAAGAAGCACCGGCUAACUCCGUGCCAGCCGCCGCGGUAAUUC